AUACGUAGGGUGCGAGCGUUGUCCGGAAUUACUGGGCGUAAAGAGCUCGUAGGUGGUUUGUCGCGUCGUCUGUGAAAUUCCGGGGCUUAACUCCGGGCGUGCAGGCGAUACGGGCAUAACUUGAGUACUGUAGGGGAGACUGGAAUUCCUGGUGUAGCGGUGAAAUGCGCAGAUAUCAGGAGGAACACCGGUGGCGAAGGCGGGUCUCUGGGCAGAAACUGACGCUGGGGAGCGAAAGCAUGGGUAGCGAACAGGAUUAGAUACCCUGGUAGUCCAUGCCGUAAACGGUGGGCGCUAGGUGUAGGGGUCUUCCACGACUUCUGUGCCGUAGCUAACGCAUUAAGCGCCCCGCCUGGGGAGUACGGCCGCAAGGCUAAAACUCAAAGGAAUUGACGGGG
rnacentral:rRNA from 1 species